rnacentral:RNase_P_RNA from 1 species
AGCGGUCGCUGUUUUAAUUCUCCAAAACAGAGAGUAAAACAGAGGAAAGUCCGGGCUCCUUCGGAAAGAAUGCCGGUUAAUGGCCGGGCAUGAAGGAUUCCUUCAUGACAGACAGCGCAACAGAAAGUAUACCGCUUUGCUUUGCAAAGUAAGGGUGAAAAGGCGGUGUAAGAGACCACCGGGCAGAAGGUAACUUCCGUCGCAUUGCAAGCCUCAUUUGGAGCAAGAUCAGACAGUAACUGAAUUCCGAUAGAGGGUGCUUAAAAACACCUUCACAGUUACGGGUAGGUCGCUUAAGAUGCGGAGCGAUUCGUAUUUCAGAUAGAUGACCGCAAUCAGUUUUGAUAACUCUUUGAGUUGUUUGAACUUGAUGACAGAACCCGGCUUAUUUU